GUAGUUAAAUCUUUGAGUUGUCCUAACUCUUUUGGAAUUAACCCACUGAGAAUUGUUACUCACGUCUAAAUUUUGAAGGCUACUCAUGUUCCCAAUUUCAGGAGGGAUGGCACCACGAAAAUGAUUGUGUUGCAUGUAUAGCUUAGUAAGAUUGGUUAAAAGACCAAGAGUAAGUGGAAAUGGGCCAACAAGCAUGUUACUAGACAAAUCAAGAGUAAUCAAAUCUUUGAGUUGCCCUAACUCAUUUGGAAUUAACCCAUUGAGAAUAUUGCCACCCACG
rnacentral:misc_RNA from 1 species